rnacentral:lncRNA from 1 species
AUCCCCUGCCUGCAGCACGUGCUGAUCUCCAAGGGUGAGGCUGGAUGAAGCCAGGGGCUAUGGAAAGGGAGACUGUUUCAGAGGACUUGACACCAUCUUCAGUAAUUUCUCUGGUUCUUGGCAGCUCCAUUUGGCUGCGUCCCUACCCUGCAUAACCCUCCCAGCUAGUCUACUCCAGGGCAGCAUCCAGCUGGUGACCUGAGAGGGCAGUGGCGCACCAGUCUCCAUGAAGGUUGAGCUCCGAUGGCCAACAGCCAUUUCCACCUUGUGGUCUACAACUCUUCAUCCCGACUGCAUGGAGGUUGGUCUCUCUCUUCAGCUGGAUUUAGGCCACCAUCUGAGCCCCCGGGGUACGUUUUGUCUGACCCUGGCGCCAUUCGAACGGUUCUUCUACAGCAUCAGGUGACACCCCUGCUCCCCAUUCACCCUCCGCUAUCAGUAAAAGCUUCCUCAGACCUCACCAGAAGCUGGACAGAUAGAUGCUGGUGCCAAGCUUGUACAGACUGCAGAACCAUGGGCCAAAUAAACCUCUUUUCUUUAUAAAUUGCUCAGCCUCAGGGGUCCCUUUAUAGCAAUGCGAGAAUAGACUAACACAGCAACCCAGAAGUUUGUGGAGUGAAAUCUAAAGCAGUGCUUUUAAAAGUGAGAUCCUAGGACCAGCACCACCUGUACCACAUGCAUCACCUGGGAACCUGUUAGAAAAGCAAAGCCUCAGGCUCCAUCCCAGACCACCUCAGGCAGAAGCUCUGGGGGUGGGGUCCAGGAAUCUGAGAUUUAACAAGCUCUCCAGGUGAUGCUGAUGCAUGUUCAGUUUGAAAACAAUGGACCCAGAGAGCCUCUAAAGUGCAACCUGCCCUGACAAUUUUAGUCCAAAAUCUUGCAUGGGUAAUUUAAUCUCUACAUCCU